AGAGUUUGAUCCUGGCUCAGGAUGAACGCUAGCUAUAGGCUUAACACAUGCAAGUCGAGGGGAAACGGCAUUAUGUGCUUGCACAUUUUGGACGUCGACCGGCGCACGGGUGAGUAUCGCGUAUCCAACCUUCCCUCCACUCGGGGAUACCCCGUUGAAAGACGGCCUAAUACCCGAUGUUGUCCACAUAUGGCAUCUGACGUGGACCAAAGAUUCAUCGGUGGAGGAUGGGGAUGCGUCUGAUUAGCUUGUUGGUGCGGGUAACGGCCCACCAAGGCAACGAUCAGUAGGGGUUCUGAGAGGAAGGUCCCCCACAUUGGAACUGAGACACGGUCCAAACUCCUACGGGAGGCAGCAGUGAGGAAUAUUGGUCAAUGGACGGAAGUCUGAACCAGCCAAGUAGCGUGCAGGAUUGACGGCCCUAUGGGUUGUAAACUGCUUUUGUUGGGGAGUAAAGUGAGGCACGCGUGCCUUUUUGCAUUUACCCUUCGAAUAAGGACCGGCUAAUUCCGUGCCAGCAGCCGCGGUAAUACGGAAGGUCCAGGCGUUAUCCGGAUUUAUUGGGUUUAAAGGGAGUGUAGGCGGUCUGUUAAGCGUGUUGUGAAAUUUAGGUGCUCAACAUCUACCUUGCAGCGCGAACUGGCGGACUUGAGUGCACGCAACGUAUGCGGAAUUCAUGGUGUAGCGGUGAAAUGCUUAGAUAUCAUGACGAACUCCGAUUGCGAAGGCAGCGUACGGGAGUGUUACUGACGCUUAAGCUCGAAGGUGCGGGUAUCGAACAGGAUUAGAUACCCUGGUAGUCCGCACGGUAAACGAUGGAUGCCCGCUGUUAGCGCCUGGCGUUAGCGGCUAAGCGAAAGCAUUAAGCAUCCCACCUGGGGAGUACGCCGGCAACGGUGAAACUCAAAGGAAUUGACGGGGGCCCGCACAAGCGGAGGAACAUGUGGUUUAAUUCGAUGAUACGCGAGGAACCUUACCCGGGCUUGAAUUGCAGACGCANGAUACAGAGAUGUUGACUCCCUUCGGGGCGUCUGUGAAGGUGCUGCAUGGUUGUCGUCAGCUCGUGGCGUGAGGUGUCGCUUAGUGCCAUAACGAGCGCAACCCCUUUCUUAGUUGCCAUCAG
rnacentral:rRNA from 1 species